GACGAACGCUAGCGGCGUGCUUAACACAUGCAAGUCGAACGAUGAACUUGGAGCUUGCUCUGGGGGAUUAGUGGCGAACGGGUGAGUAACACGUGAGUAACCUGCCCUGGACUCUGGGAUAACUUCGAGAAAUCGGAGCUAAUACCGGAUAGGACCUUGCACCGCAUGGUGUGGGGUGGAAAGUUUUUCGGUUUGGGAUGGACUCGCGGCCUAUCAGCUUGUUGGUGAGGUAAUGGCUCACCAAGGCGUCGACGGGUAGCCGGCCUGAGAGGGUGACCGGCCACACUGGGACUGAGACACGGCCCAGACUCCUACGGGAGGCAGCAGUGGGGAAUAUUGCACAAUGGGCGCAAGCCUGAUGCAGCAACGCCGCGUGCGGGAUGACGGCCUUCGGGUUGUAAACCGCUUUUAGUAAGGAAGAAGGGGAGCUUGCUCCUUGACGGUACUUGCAGAAAAAGGACCGGCUAACUACGUGCCAGCAGCCGCAGUAAGAC
rnacentral:rRNA from 1 species